UACGGAGGGGCUAGCGUUGUUCGGAAUUACUGGGCGUAAAGCGCACGUAGGCGGCUUUGUAAGUUAGAGGUGAAAGCCUGGAGCUUAACUCCAGAACUGCCUUUAAGACUGCAUCGCUUGAAUCCGGGAGAGGUGAGUGGAAUUCCGAGUGUAGAGGUGAAAUUCGUAGAUAUUCGGAAGAACACCAGUGGCGAAGGCGGCUCACUGGACCGGUAUUGACGCUGAGGUGCGAAAGCGUGGGGAGCAAAACAGGAUUAGAUACCCCGGUAGUCCCUGAG
rnacentral:rRNA from 1 species